rnacentral:rRNA from 1 species
GGGGGAAUUUUGCACAAUGGGGGAAACCCUGAUGCAGCGACGCCGCGUGCGGGAUGAAGUCCUUCGGGUUGUAAACCGCUUUCAGCAGGGACGAGGCCGCAAGGUGACGGUACCUGCAGAAGAAGCCCCGGCUAACUACGUGCCAGCAGCCGCGGUAAUACGUAGGGGGCAAGCGUUAUCCGGAUUCAUUGGGCGUAAAGCGCGCGUAGGCGGUUUGUUAGGUCAGGAGUUAAAUCUGGGGGCUCAACCCCUAUCCGCUCCUGAUACCGGCAGGCUUGGGUCUGGUAGGGGAAGGCGGAAUUCCAAGUGUAGCGGUGAAAUGCGCAGAUAUUUGGAAGAACACCGGUGGCGAAGGCGGCCUUCUGGGCCACGACUGACGCUGAGGCGCGAAAGCUAGGGGAGCGAACAGG